UACGUAGGCGGCGAGCGUUAUCCGGAUUUAUUGGGCGUGCAGAGGGUGUAGGUGGCUUUGCAAGUCGGGCGUGAAAUCUCUCGGCCUAACUGAGAGAGGUCGUCCGAUACUGCGGGGCUAGAGGACAGCAGAGGGAGGUGGAAUUCCCGGUGUAGUGGUGAAAUGCGUAGAUAUCGGGAGGAACACCAGUGGCGAAAGCGGCCUCCUGGGCUGUCCCUGACGCUGAGGCCCGAAGGCGCGGGGAG
rnacentral:rRNA from 1 species